UACGUAGGUGGCAAGCGUUGUCCGGAUUUACUGGGCGUAAAGGAUGCGUAGGCGGACAUUUAAGUCAGAUGUGAAAUACCCGAGCUUAACUUGGGUGCUGCAUUUGAAACUGGGUGUCUAGAGUGCAGGAGAGGUAAGUGGAAUUCCUAGUGUAGCGGUGAAAUGCGUAGAGAUUAGGAAGAACACCAGUGGCGAAGGCGACUUACUGGGACUGAUAACUGACGCUGGAGGCAUGAAAGCGUGGGGAGCAAACAGG
rnacentral:rRNA from 1 species